GAGGACAGCCCGGCUCUUCACAAGCCUGACGGAGGACCACGGAAUCUAGCACCUGCACAUCCAGAUGCAAAUUGGUGGUGCUGGAGAAAGAGACGGGUGACGAGCUGUCUGUGACUUCACGGCAGUGGACGGAUUCCAGCUGCUCCCUUCUACUUCUGCCCCCCAAAGACAGAAGUGCUCUGGCACUUGCGGAGGGGAAGCUUGUCCUGGCAGCGAGGACCAGAGGAUGACCCGCCCACUGGGAAAGGAGGGGCUGGCUGUGCAUGGAGUCUGUCUUGCAGAAGCAGCAG
rnacentral:lncRNA from 1 species